rnacentral:tRNA from 1 species
GGGAAUGUAGCUCAGUGGUAGAACACUUGCCUAUCAUUUAUGCAAGGUCCUGGGUUCGAUUCCCAGCAUUGCAA